GAUGAACGCUGGCGGCGUGCCUAAUACAUGCAAGUCGAGCGAAUGGACUAAGAGCUUGCUCUUAUGAAGUUAGCGGCGGACGGGUGAGUAACACGUGGGUAACCUGCCCAUAAGACUGUGAUAACUCCGGGAAACCGGGGCUAAUACCGGAUAACAUUUUGAGCCGCCUGGUUCGAAAUUGAAAGGCGGCUUCGGCUGUCACUUAUGGAUGGACCCGCGUCGCAUUAGCUAGUUGGUGAGGUAACGGGUCACCAAGGCAACGAUGCGUAGCCGAACUGAGAGUGUGAUCGGACACAAUGGGACUGAGACACGGCCCAGACUCAUACGGGAGGGAGCAGUAGGGAAUCUUCCGCAAGGGACGAAAGUCUGACGGAGCAACGCCGCGUGAGUGAUGAAGGCUUUCGGGUCGUAAAACUCUGUUGUUAGGGAAGAACAAGUGCUAGUUGAAUAAGCUGGCACCUUGACGGUACCUAACCAGAAAGCCACGGCUAACUACGUGCCAGCCGCCGCGGUAA
rnacentral:rRNA from 1 species